GGGGGCGUAAUGGUUUCGACGGGGGAAAAGAUGGGUAGAGUAGCGAGCCGAGUUGUUCGCCAGCUCGUUAAAAAGGUGAAAUUAAAAAUAACUGCAGAAGAAAACUACGCUUUAGCUGCCUAAUUAAAGGCAGCCGUCCGGCUAGCUUUACCCGCGGGCUAGUUUAGGGCGUCACCGAGCGGGAGUACCUUUUAACCUUCUGCCUUGAGGGGUUAAAAGGGAAAAUUAUCGAGGCUAGCCUUUAAAAAGCCUGUCCGUGGGCGUUUUAAAGGCGAAAAGAAAAACACGGACUGCGCUCGGAGAGACUCUACUGGUCUUUCUUUCGGACGGGGGUUCGAUUCCCCCCGCCUCCACCA
rnacentral:tmRNA from 1 species